rnacentral:rRNA from 1 species
GCGCUCUGAGCUUAAGCAUAUCAAUAAGCGGAGGAAAGGAAACUAUACAAGGAUUCCCCUAGUAACUGCGAGUGAAGAGGGAAGAGCUCAAAUUUAAAAUCUGGCUGUCUCUGGCAGUCCGAGUUGUAGUUUAGAGAAGUGUUAUCCGCGCUGGCCUGUGCAUAAGUUUCUUGGAAAAGAACAUCAUAGAGGGUGACAAUCCCGUCUUUGGCACAGAUUCACCGGGGCUUUUGUGAUACGCUCUCAGCGCAGUCGCGUUGUUUGGGAAUGCAGCGCUAAAUGGGUGGUAAAUUCCAUCUCAAGCUAAAUAUUGGUGAGAGACCGAUACACGAACAAGUUCCGUGAGGGAUAGAUGAAAAGAACUUUGAAAAGAGAGUUAAACAGUACGUGAAAUUGUUGAAAGGGAAACGCUUGAAGUCAGUCGUGUCUGCUAGGGAUCAAGUUGCCUCUGGGUGAUCCGCACUUCCUAGAUUGGAUGGGUCAGCAUCAAUUUUGUUCCGUGGAAUAAAGGCCUAGGGAAUGUGGCAUCUUCGGUUGUGUUAUAGACCUGGGUUGGAUACAAUGGUUGGGAUUGAGGAACUCAUGUGCGCCUUCAUGGUUGGGGCCUCGGCUCUACAUUAGCACACUUAGAGAUGCUGGCAUAAUGGCUUUAAUCGUCCCGUCGUGAAACACGG